rnacentral:rRNA from 1 species
UACGAAGGGGGCUAGCGUUGCUCGGAAUGACUGGGCGUAAAGGGCGCGUAGGCGGCGAUCAAGGUCAGAUGUGAAAUUCCUGGGCUUAACCUGGGGGCUGCAUUUGAUACGUGGUGGCUUGAGUGCGGAAGAGGGUCGUGGAAUUCCCAGUGUAGAGGUGAAAUGCGUAGAUAUCAAGAGGAACACCUGAGGUGAAGACGGGUUGCUGGGCUGACACUGACGCUGAGGCGCGAAAGCUAGGGUAGCAAACGGG